GCCUGAGGAGAGGGGCUGCCUGGCUAUUGGGAAGAUCCUUGCCGAGGAUGGAGUGUGUGGGACCCUCCGACUCACUGCUGUCUCUCUGACGUGGGGACACCAAUCCAGAGUGUACCCUUCAGUCAUCCAACAGAUCUGAUCGCUGGUGGGAAGGGCAGAAUUGGUAAGAGCCCGGCAAGGGAGACGGUGGGAAAGAGCUCUCCUUGGAAACCCAGGCCAGCCUUCCCCAAAGCCUCAAGGAAACCCACAGUCGCCUGGCAGCUUGGCUGAGGAGGCGGCCCAGCCCCUGAAGCAGAGCCAGCGAGCCGCCCAUACAGCUUUUCACCACCAAGUCCCUGUUUCCUUUGGAUGCCAGCCAUUCCACAAGUCACACACAAGAUUUAGCACCAGAAGCGGAGACUCACAGACUGUAACGCUUACGAACUCCCAAUACAUAAGCCUUCACCUCCGCGGCUGGCAAGGAGGAUGCGGAGGAAGGGAUAAUGCCCGGUUCUGGGGAAAUUCGAGAUGCGUUUGCACACUUGGGAAAGGGGCAUUCCAGCGAGGGCAGUGUAAUCGGGGGCUGAAGCUUUGAACUGCGCUGGCGCUCCCUGCAUUUUCUCCAGCCCCAUCUUUCGACCGAGAAACCAAGUGGGAGCUUUGGUAAAACGGAGAGCAGAUGUCAGCCCGGAGCGAUAGACACCAGAGACGUGGGCAGGAAGGGCAGCUUGAGGAGCAGUGAGCUAGGAACGGGCUUCUGGAAACUGGCUCCAUGCUCACCAAGGAUCCCGGGAACCAAAGCUUAGACCGGACGGGAAGACGGAGAGCUUCUACCAGUGCCUAGGCCAACGGGUAACUUAGGCGGAAGAGGCAAUACUGCAUCCCUAGAGGGAACUGCGGAGAGUAAUAACCACGGCGAAAGAGAAGAAGGGCUCGGAGUAGUGGCCCCUGCCAUGUCUCUGGCUAGCCCGUGGAGCCAAUGCAGAGAGCAGACAGAUCUUGGAGAAUGACGCAGCAAUCACUCGGAUCCAAGGUCACUGUACUCUCAAGAAGAGUUUGCAGACCAAGUCUUCUCCUUUCUAGUUGAGUCUCCUCGCCCUGAAUGAAGUGAAGCCAGCAGCAAGCCUCUCGGGAGCCCAUUCUGUACUCCUUCCACACACAGGGCAGAGCUGCGGAAUCACAGACAGGAACAUAGAAUAACUGCCUUCUGAGAGGCCUCAUCCAGAAGCUGAUGGAAACAGAUGCAGAGACCCACAGCCAAACGAUAGGCUGAGUUUGAUUAUGUUUCUGAAAGACCUUUUCCUAUUACAUAAAACUAUAUUCUGUAACCAAGGCUGUCCAGUAAUGACUGUCCCAGCUUGUAGAAACGAGUGACUAUCAACUGGAGCUUCCGAACCAGACUACGAAUAAAGGAAGACGGAGACCACACUGCCUGAAGGAUACGCAGGCCACUUUAGAGCACACUGUCUUUUUUCACUCAUAUCUGUCCCAGGAUCUGUGUUGGAAGGCAGUGAAGCAAGAGAAUCUGAGCCACAAGAGGACAGGUUUGAGAAGACCUGAGUCAGCUCUGGCUGUAUCACUUCCUGAAGGUGUGACCCAGAGCAAGACAAAGAAAGCAUGCCUUGGCUGUUCCAGCCCUUCUUCUGCAUUAUAGAGCAAUGAUAGAUACCCCCUGUUUCCGGGCAGCAGGACUAAGUGAGGUGCAAGCUCAGGGUAUAAUGCAUUGUGUGUCCUACAGCAAGCACUGUGGAGAUUAGCUGAGGAAUCUUCCAGAUCCCACACUUCCCAAAGAAUGAAAACAGUAAGACAAAAGAAGGAAAGAAAGAAAGAAGUAGCAGUGCAUAAAUACAGAAGCACAUAGUUUUGACUGCUGACCCUGCCAGAUAUCUAGACUUUUUAGACAUGUGGCAGCACUUGAGAACAUUUCUGAGUGAUUCUAAACUCAUGCAUCAAUUAAUGCUCUAACCAAGGACUUCUUCUUUAGACAGCUAUCCGUAAGUUGCAUUUUUUUUCAUUCGUACAAGCUGAAAUGCCACUUUGUUGUAAUAUUAAAGGAUUUAUAAUUUUUAAACCAUUGCUAUAUUAAUCUCAGAUGUCAGAGAUGUCUAUCUCUUUUUCUAGUCAUUGCAACCUUAAAUCCCUGGAUGGCCGAUGAAGCCUUUAGGCUGCCUACCUAGCUGUGAGCUUCCUUUACGCUCAUAAAAUGUGGAUGAUCCUAGGAGAGAAAUUCCCACCAACUGUGGUCCAUUUCCAGCACGUAUACUUCACAGAGGUGAAAAGAAGCUGGAUAAAAAGUAAAGUAAAUAAAUAAAAAUAAAUAAGAAACCAUUAAAUGAGAUUUUCUGAGCACAUAGUUCUUAAACCUUAAAGAGUGAUUCCUGGGGCAAGGAACCAAAACCCUGAGUACCACUCACCAGACUUUCUGAGUUACCAGAAAGCCCAGGACUAGAGGGACCACUCAAAUAGCUUCCUGAAGUUGCUGUUUAUCCACCUAGUCCCAAGAAAGUGUAGUCACCUUUCCCUUCCAUCACACCUUAAGAAGCAGCAUGGGAGCCUUCCAGAGCCAUCGUCCUGCCCCUGUAACACAAAAAUGAAGAAGAGAAGAGAAAGCAGAUAAGAGUGGUGAAGGUGAGGCAAAGGCCCCAAGGGAUGUCUGCUGUUCUUGAAGCAGCUCUUUUGAAAAGAUUACAUCACCACCAAACCAAGGAAAAAUGAGUUGUGCCAUGAGCAGGGAGUAUGGUAUGGCCACAAUUCUGCACAAGCCUGCUGUACCCCGGGCAAUGUUCUCUGGGAUGCCCAUGACUUCUGACACACAUCCCUUUUCAUCAACAACAUCCUCAGUUCUGAACAAGGUCCGUAAUCCCAUGGUCCCAGGGACUGUCACCAAGAAAUUCCCAACAUUGCAUCUCUAUUCUUAGCGACAACACUCAUGGCUUAUGAUGCAUUUUCAGAUGACCAAUAAGACUUUUUUUUUUUUUAGAUUUGCAUAAUGUUAGGUUGAACACAGGCGAAUAAAGAUGUGGCUUUUAGCUAGCUUUAUCUGACAAGAAUUUAAGGGCUUCCCAAACCAUGACUUAUGAGCUUUCAUUCACAGUAUUGUUAGGAACUACCAAAAGUUCACAUACACAUUUCGUGCAAAUGCCUCCAAAGGUCUUAUUUUCCCAUCUAUGUUGGGCUAUGCUUCCCCCUUCCUGCCACCAUGAACAGGAUGUGACCCAACAGGAAAUAAA